GUCGUCGACGUACGUCUAGAGGUAGUUAGUUAGUACUCGUGGCUACAGAACGACGCUGGCGGCAGGUCUUAGGCAUGCAAGUCGAACGAGCGAAGCAGAGCUUGCUCUGUGGAACGAGUGGCGCACGAGUGAGUAACGCGUGGGAAACUGCCCACCACUGGGGAAUAACGUUUGGAAACGAACGCUAAUACCGCAUACGCCCGCAAGGGGAAAGAUUUAUCGGUGGUGGAUGUGCCCGCGUUGGAUUAGCUUGUUGGUGGGGUAAUGGCCUACCAAGGCGAUGAUCCAUAGCUGGUCUGAGAGGACGAUCAGCCACGUUGGAACUGGGACACGGUCCAAACUCCUACGGGAGGCAGCAGCUAAGAAUAUUGGGCAAUGGAGGAAACUCUGACCCAGCCAAUGCCGCGUGAAUGAAGAAGGCCUUCGGGUUGUAAAGUUCUUUUAAUCGUGAAGAUGAUGACAGUAGCGAUAGAAAAAGCACCGGCUAACUUCGUGCCAGCAGCUGC
rnacentral:rRNA from 1 species